CUACGGGUGGCUCCAGUGGGGAAUAUUGCACAAUGGGCGCAAGCCUGAUGCAGCCAUGCCGCGUGUAUAAAGAAGGCCUUCGGGUUGUAAAGUACUUUCAGCGGGGAGGAAGGGAGUAAAGUUAAUACCUUUGCUCAUUGACGUUACCCGCAGAAGAAGCACCGGCUAACUCCGUGCCAGCAGCCGCGGUAAUACGGAGGGUGCAAGCGUUAAUCGGAAUUACUGGGCGUAAAGCGCACGCAGGCGGUUUGUUAAGUCAGAUGUGAAAUCCCCGGGCUCAACCUGGGAACUGCAUCUGAUACUGGCAGGCUUGAGUCUCGUAGAGGGGGGUGGAAUUCCAGGUGUAGCGGUGAAAUGCGUAGAGAUCUGGAGGAAUACCGGUGGCGAAGGCGGCCCCCUGGACGAAGACUGACGCUCAGGUGCGAAAGCGUGGGGAGCAAACAGGAUUAGAUACCCGAGUAGUC
rnacentral:rRNA from 1 species